rnacentral:rRNA from 1 species
GAUGAACGCUGGCGGUGUGCCUAAUACAUGCAAGUCGAGCGAACAGACGAGGAGCUUACUCCUCUGACGUUAGCGGCGGACGGGUGAGUAACACGUGGAUAACCUACCUAUAAGACUGGGAUAACUUCGGGAAACCGGAGCUAAUACCGGAUAACAUGUUGAACCGCAUGGUUCAACAGUGAAAGACGGUCUUGCUGUCACUUAUAGAUGGAUCCGCGUCGCAUUAGCUAGUUGGUAAGGUAACGGCUUACCAAGGCAACGAUGCGUAGCCGACCUGAGAGGGUGAUCGGCCACACUGGAACUGAGACACGGUCCAGACUCCUACGGGAGGCAGCAGUAGGGAAUCUUCCGCAAUGGGCGAAAGCCUGACGGAGCAACGCCGCGUGAGUGAAGAAGGUCUUCGGAUCUUAAAACUCUGUUAUUAGGGAAGAACAAAUGUGUAAGUAACUAUGCACGUCUUGACGGUACCUAAUCAGAAAGCCACGGCUAACUACGUG